ensembl:lncRNA
AUGUAUCUGAAAAAGUAUGUCCUGUUUUUAUUUUCAGGAAUCUUGAAUUCUUACUUUCCUCUAGAUUGCUGCCAAACUGCCCCUACUUUUACUGCCAGUUAUUCUCCAGACCUUUAUGUCUCUGUUUCUACAACAACUCCAGACUCAAGUUCAUCUAUCUUCACCACAACAUCAGAAUCAAAUCCCCUCACAAACACAAGUACAACCGAGUCUUACUCCACCAUUCAAGCCACUACACAACUGAAGAACACUUCUCUCAGUGACACUUCUGACUCAAUAUCAGAACAACAAAGCACUGCCACUCAAACAACGGAGCCCUUAACCAAUGCCACUGCACAUGGGAUCAGUUCAACAGGAAGCACUAAAACAACUAGCUCGGACACAUCAACAACAUCUGAGAUACCUACACUGACUCCAAUUCAUGCAAACAAUGAUUCCAUUACCACCACUGAUUCCAAAAUACAAUAUAAUUUAGAGAAAACCUCAGUCAGCAAUACAUCCAUUUCUUGGUCUACUGGAACAUUAACUGAUACCCAAAGGCCUGAGCCAACAAACGAAACUUCAACCAACAGUAGUGUCAAAAAGACAGCAUUUUCUGAAUCGACAACAACAAUGCUUGUGUCUAAAACAACUGCAGGCUCUUCAUUUCCGUCUUCUCUAACAUCAUACUCCACUGUUACAACAACACAACAGCUUGAGUCCUCAGACAAUACUCAAGUCUCCAUCACAUCAAAUGAAUCGAAAACUACAAUGAUUUCCUCUACAACAACUCCAGACUCAAGUUCAUCUCUCUUCACCAAAACAUCAGAACCAAAUACCCUCACAAACACAAGUAAAACCGAGUCUUACUCAACCAUAAAAACAACUACACAACUGAAGAACACUUCUCUCAGUGACACUUCUGACUCAAGAUUAAACCAACAAAGCAUUGCCACUCAAACAACGGAGCCCUUAACCAAUGCUACUGCACAUGGGAUCAGUUCAACAGGAAGCACUAAAACAACUAGCUCGGAUACAUCAACAACAUCUGAGACACCUAAACUGACUCCAAUUCAUGUAAACAAUGAUUCCAUUACCACCACUGAUUCCAAAACAAAGUAUAAAGUAGAGCAAACCUCAGAUAGCAAUACAUCUAUUUCUUGGUCUACUGGAACAUUAACUGGCACCCAAAGGCCUGAGCCAAUAACCGACACUUUAACCAACAGUAGUGUCACAAAGACAUCAUAUACUGAAUCGACAACAACAAUAACUGUGCCUACAACAACUCCAAACUCUUCAUUAGCAUCCCCUGAUGUGUCUUCUCAAACAUCAUACUCCACUGUGACAACAACACAACAGCUUGAUUCAUCAGACCAUACACAAUUCUCCAUCACAUCAAAUGAAUCGACAACUACAAUGAUUUCCUCUACAACAACUCCAGACAUAAGUUCAUCUAUCUUCACCAAAACAUCAGAACCAAAUACCCUCACAAACACAAGUAAAACUGAGUCUUACUCAACCAUAAAAACAACUACACAACUGAAGAACACUUCUCUUAGUGACACUUCUGACUCAACCUUAAACCAACAAAGCAUUGCCACUCAAACAACGGAGCCCUUAACCAAUGCUACUGCACAUGGGAUCAGUUCAACAGGAAGCACUAAAACAACUAGCUCGGACACAUCAACAACAUCUGAGACACCUAAACUGACUCCAAAUCAUGCAAACAAUGAUUACAUUACCACCACUGAUUCCAAAACACAAUAUAAAGUAGAGCAAACCUCAAACAGCAAUACAUCCACUGGAACAUUAACUGGUACCCAAAGGCCUGAGCCAACAAUCAAAACUUCAACCAACAGUAAUUUCACUAAGACAGCAUUUUCUGAAUUGACAGCAACAAUGCUUGCACCUACAACUGCACAUGGGAUAAGUUCAACAGGAAGCACUAAAACAACUAGCUCGGACACAUCAACAACAUCUGAGACACCUAAACUGACUCCAAUUCAUGCAAACAAUAAUUCCAUUACCACCACUGAUUCCAAAACACAAUAUAAUGUAGAGCAAACAUCAGACAGCAAUACAUCCAUUUCUUGGAUUACUGGAACAUUAACUGGCACCCAAAAACCUGAGCCAACAAUCAAAACUUCAACCAACAGUAAUUUCACUAAGACAGCAUUUUCUGAAUUGACAGCAACAAUGCUUGCACCUACAACAACUACAGGCUCUUUAUUUCCGUCUUCUAUAACAUCAUACUCCAUUGUGACAACAACACAACAGCUUGAUUCAUCAGACCAUACUCAAGUCUCCAUCACAUCAAAUGAAUCGACAGCUAAAAUGUUUUCCUCUACAACAACUCCAGACUCAAGUUCAUCUAUCUUCACCAAAACAUCAGAACCAAAUCCCCUCACAAACACAAGUUCAGCCGAGUCUUACUCAACCAUUCAACCAACUACACAACUGAAGAACACUUCUCUCAGUGACACUUCUGACUCAACAUCAAACCAACAAAGCAUUGCCACUCAAACAACGGAGCCCUUAACCAAUGCUACUGCACAUGGGAUCAGUUCAACAGGAAGCACUAAAACAACUAGCUCGGAUACAUCAACAACAUCUGAGACACCUACACUGACUCCAAUUCAUUCAAACAAUGAUUCCAUUACCACCACUGAUUCCAAAACACAAUAUAAAGUAGAGCAUACCUCAGACAGCAAUACAUCCAUUUAUUGGUCUACUGGAACAUCAACUGGUACCCAAAGGCCUGAGCCAACAACCGAAACUUCAACCAACAGUAGUGUCACAAAGACAUCAUUUUCUGAAUCGACAACAACAAUGCUUGCGUCUACAACUACAGGCUCUUCAUUUCCGUCUUCUAAAACAUCAUACUCCACUGUUACAACAACACAACAGCUUGAGUCAUCAGACCAUACUCAAGUCACCAUAACAUCAAAUGAAUCGACAACUACAAUGAUUUCCUCUACAACAACUCCAGACUCAAGUUCAUCUAUCUUCACCAAAACAUCAGAACCAAAUACCCUCACAAACACAAGUACAGCCGAGUAUCACUCAACCAUUCAACCAACUACACAACUGAAGAACACUUCUCUAAGUGACACUUCUUACUCGCCAGCAAUCUACCAAUCUAUUAAUGAAUUAAAUACUACAUCUUUCAACCAUCUGAAAACACAAAUGUCUCAAACAUUUGCUGCUGCCACUGCACUUAUUCAGCCUCCAUCGUCACCAAUCACGCCAGACAAUGAAUAUACUGCAGAGCCUUCAUUUACAACAUCAACACUGACAGACUUCAAAAGCACACUGAUAAAUGUACAGAAAGCAGCAUCUAUGUCAUCUCCAUCAGAAAAUCUGCUAAAUGACAGUCAAGAAACUCCAACACCUGUGACAGAAUCGCAAUCAUCUCAGUCCACAACAAAUUAUAUAACACUUAAUUCUAGUUUGACUAUUUCCUCAGACUCAACAACACUGGUUCAGACCUCAAGCCCUGACAUACCAGUGAAAGUUACAGCUACACCUGAACACAUCCACCCAGAGCGCUCACAAACAACUGUAACUGAUUUCAGAGCAUCAACUCUACAGAGAACAUCUACAACAACACCAACGCUGGUUCCCAGCCAUCUGCAAACUCAGGAAACAGUUUCAAGACAAGCAGUGACACCUGAUUCAAAGUCCACAUCCAUGAACAUGCCCUCAAUGUUUCCAACCACUCAGGAAAACCAAAAAACGAACACUCACACAUCCUUAAGUCCAAUUUCUCCCACAUCUCCGCUCAGGUCCCUAAGCAAUGACUCAAAACCCGUCACCACUUCAUUAGCUCAUGAAUACAGAGGCUCAGCUUUGGUGAUAUUAACUCAAAGUGGGCUAAACAGGUCUGAUUCAGAAGGUACUACAAUCAAAGACACCUGGUCAAACAACAUAUCUUCAAUACCAGCAGGUCUAACAAACCCACCAUUGUCAAGCAACACCAGCAGAGAUGGAAAUACAGAUAACUCUGCAAACUCAGUGAAAAGCACUACUUUUUUUGUCUUCAACACUCCCAAAGUGCCUGUGUUUAAAGCAAUCACCUUUAAUCACCCAUUGGUUAAUCAAGUCACAGUGAUGAAAACCGUUUCAAGACCAUGAAACGGUCAUAUAAAAUGACUUAAAAGCAAAGUGUGUGAGUCUGAGAGCUUAUAUCUGGCUCCUCGUGUGCAUGACUAAUGUGGAAGAGCCAGAGACAGAUCAGGAAUAUAAAGAAUGUAGAAGUUGAAAUGUUUUUGUGGUUACUGAACAUCAAGCAGAUCAUAUGACUAAGUGCCACACACCAACAAACAAAUAAACAAAGACUGAAACCAAAUGUGAUGGAAGAA